AUUGAACGCUGGCGGCAUGCUUUACACAUGCAAGUCGAACGGUAACAGGUCUUCGGAUGCUGACGAGUGGCGAACGGGUGAGUAAUGUAUCGGAACGUGCCCAGUAGUGGGGGGAUAACUACUCGAAAGAGUGGCUAAUACCGCAUGAGAACUGAGGUUGAAAGCGGGGGACCUUCGGGCCUCGCGCUACUGGAGCGGCCGAUAUCAGAUUAGGUAGUUGGUGGGGUAAAGGCCUACCAAGCCGACGAUCUGUAGCUGGUCUGAGAGGACGACCAGCCACACUGGGACUGAGACACGGCCCAGACUCCUACGGGAGGCAGCAGUGGGGAAUUUUGGACAAUGGACGCAAGUCUGAUCCAGCAAUGCCGCGUGCAGGACGAAGGCCUUC
rnacentral:rRNA from 1 species